GAAUCUGCCUGGUAGUGGGGGAUAACGUCCGGAAACGGACGCUAAUACCGCAUACGUCCUACGGGAGAAAGCAGGGGACCUUCGGGCCUUGCGCUAUCAGAUGAGCCUAGGUCGGAUUAGCUAGUUGGUGGGGUAAUGGCUCACCAAGGCGACGAUCCGUAACUGGUCUGAGAGGAUGAUCAGUCACACUGGAACUGAGACACGGUCCAGACUCCUACGGGAGGCAGCAGUGGGGAAUAUUGGACAAUGGGCGAAAGCCUGAUCCAGCCAUGCCGCGUGUGUGAAGAAGGUCUUCGGAUUGUAAAGCACUUUAAGUUGGGAGGAAGGGCAGUAAAUUAAUACUUUGCUGUUUUGACGUUACCGACAGAAUAAGCACCGGCUAACUCUGUGCCAGCAGCCGCGGUAAUACAGAGGGUGCAAGCGUUAAUCGGAAUUACUGGGCGCAAAGCGCGCGUAGGUGGUUCGUUAAGUUGGAUGUGAAAUCCCCGGGCUCAACCUGGGAACUGCAUUCAAAACUGACGAGCUAGAGUAUGGUAGAGGGUGGUGGAAUUUCCUGUGUAGCGGUGAAAUGCGUAGAUAUAGGAAGGAACACCAGUGGGCGAA
rnacentral:rRNA from 1 species